GGCUGCUGUGCUGUGAUGUUGCAGUGGCUGCUUGGGUACUCACUUGAAGGGGAGAUGGUGGGAUGGGACUUUUAUUAAUUAGAUGGAGUGAAUUUUCCAUAAUGCCCCUACUUUUUCUCAUAGGUUUUUUUCGGACAAAUUCUUUUCUUUACCUUGACCAUGAAGUGCCAUGGGAUAACCCUUUCCUACUCUGCUCUUGCUUGACAUGGUAAACAGUACUGCCAAGCAUUAUCUCAAUUAUUUAAUCAGUUUUAU
rnacentral:lncRNA from 1 species